GGCGCUUAUCCAGCCUGUUAUAUUUGAAGGACAUCGCUCAUAUGGAUGAAAAACUCAUCUUUGACGACUAAUAAUAAGGGAAUACAUGCAUCUUUGUUAUUUUAGUUGGAAUUUCUUUCAAAAUACAAACGUGGGAUCCUGUCACCUUCUUACAAAGCCAUGUUUCCCAUCAGAUGGGUAGUUCUUUCUGUGCAUGAGAUUUUUGUGUCUGGCUAGCAUCACUCAACUCUUGUACACUUCUGCGAGGGUAUUAAUGUAGACAUCUUUAUUUUUCUGAAAAACAUAUACAGGCAACUUUAUUUCUGCAUGGAUCCUCCAGAGGCUGCGAGGGCGUCACUGAAACAGUCAAUACGAUGAGGCUAAUGUGCCAUCUCCGCGUCUUCACAGACUUCGACUGAUGUGGCGCAAGCUCUGUGGACAGAUUUCAGACGAUACGUACGUGGAAACGGGGGCCGUAAAAAUCCCGCAGGCAAACCUGAGAGUCAUCUCGGCAGUCGUGUCCCUUCAUAAGUUUGCAAGUCGGGGAUGCUGUUUUUGAGUCAUGAACGUUGUAUUCUCAAGAGCAUGAAUUCUUAUACAAGUGAAAAUUGUUACGGUGAAAAUUCUUAGUUCGAAGUUACCAAUCAAUCCAACCAUGCUUUACUUGGAGGAGCUGUUAGUCGUAGAACUUUUAAAAGUAUAACUUUUAUAAAAAAUUAUUUGAUGUUUGGUAACUAUAUUUUUAAAGUGCUGUAGCACGUUAACAUAUGUUUAAUAAAUAAAUUGAGAAAGUAUUUUUGUAUAACGAAAUUACCAUAAAGAACAUUGCAUAGUAUUAUAAAAGAGAGCAUAAUAAAAUAUAACAUAUAUUAAUACAUAAAUAUAUGAUAUAGUAUAAUAUUACUAUAAUAU
rnacentral:lncRNA from 1 species